rnacentral:piRNA from 1 species
UGCCCUUCGUGAGUACAAUAGCAGGGCCU